GAUGGACGCUGGCGGCGUGCCUAAUACAUGCAAGUCGAGCGAAUGAAGAGGAGCUUGCUCCUCUGAUUUAGCGGCGGACGGGUGAGUAACACGUGGGUAAUCUGCCUGUAAGACGGGGAUAACUCCGGGAAACCGGGGCUAAUACCGGAUAAUAAGCGAAGAAGCAUUUCUUCUUUUUGAAAGUCGGUUUCGGCUGACACUUACAGAUGAGCCCGCGGCGCAUUAGCUAGUUGGUGAGGUAACGGCUCACCAAGGCGACGAUGCGUAGCCGACCUGAGAGGGUGAUCGGCCACACUGGGACUGAGACACGGCCCAGACUCCUACGGGAGGCAGCAGUAGGGAAUCUUCGGCAAUGGGCGAAAGCCUGACCGAGCAACGCCGCGUGAGCGAUGAAGGCCUUCGGGUCGUAAAGCUCUGUUGUUAGAGAAGAACAAGUACGAGAGUAACUGCUCGUACCUUGACGGUACCUAACCAGAAAGCCACGGCUAACUACGUGCCAGCAGCCGCAGUAAAAC
rnacentral:rRNA from 1 species